rnacentral:rRNA from 1 species
ACGGGAGGCAGCAGCUAAGAAUAUUCCGCAAUGGACGAAAGUCUGACGGAGCGACGCCGCGUGGAUGAUGAAGGCCGGAAGGUUGUAAAAUCCUUUUAUGACUGAGGAAUAAGUGGAGUGAGAGAAACGCUUCAUGGUGACUGUAGGUCAUGAAUAAGCAACGGCUAAUUACGUGCCAGCAGCCGCGGUAAUACGUAAGUUGCGAGCGUUGUUCGGAAUUAUUGGGCGUAAAGGGCAUGUAGGCGGAUAUGCAAGCUUGGUGUGAAAGGCGGGAGCUCAACUCCCGAACUGUGUUGAGAACUGCAUAACUAGAGUGACUGAGGGGCAGGCAGAAUUCCAGGUGUAGGGGUGAAAUCUGUAGAUAUCUGGAAGAAUACCAAUGGCGAAGGCAGCCUGCCAGCAGAUGACUGACGCUGAGGUGCGAAGGUGCGGGGAGCAAACAGGAUUAGAUACCCUGGUA